rnacentral:rRNA from 1 species
UGCGAGGGAACAGGGAAGAGCCCAGCACCGAAUCCCGCGGCCGAUAUCGGACGCCGGGAAAUGUGGUGUUAGGGAGGAUCCGUUUAUCCCGAGGUCGUGCGGUGCGUCCAAGUCCUUCUUGAACGGGGCCACAGCCCAUAGAGGGUGCCAGGCCCGUAGCGACCGCUGCCGAUCGCGGGAGGAUCUCUCCUCAGAGUCGGGUUGCUUGAGAGUGCAGCCCUAAGUGGGUGGUAAACUCCAUCUAAGGCUAAAUAUGACCACGAGACCGAUAGCGAACAAGUACCGUGAGGGAAAGUUGAAAAGCACUUUGAAGAGAGAGUUCAAGAGUACGUGAAACCGUUCAGGGGUAAACCUGAGAAGCCCGAAAGGUCGAAUGGGGAAAUUCAUUCGCGUUUCGGCCGUCGGCGUUGGAUGGUCGCGUGACGGAUGGCGUACGCGUCGUCCGCGCCUUCCGUUCUUCGAACCGGCGUCGAACGCGUGCACUUUUCCCCUAGUAGGACGUCGCGAUCCGUUGGGUGUCGGUCUACGGCUCGCGGUGGAGCCCGUGCGGUCGUUUCGGCGUAUCGCACGGACCCGUGGUGUCCCGGCCGACUCGCUACGACGGUAUACAGAUGGCGCGGGGCCGCAACACAGUUUGCGUUCGGC